GGGAUGGUAGCUCCAAGGAAGAGCGUGCGCCUGUUAAGCGCAAGGUUCGAGGUUCAAGUCCUCGCUUUCCCG
rnacentral:tRNA from 1 species